UACGUAGGGUGCGAGCGUUAAUCGGAAUUACUGGGCGUAAAGCGUGCGCAGGCGGUUUUGUAAGCCAGAUGUGAAAUCCCGGCGUUAACCUGGGAACUGCAUUUGGGUACGUGCAAGGCGUAGAGUGUGUCAGAGGGGGGUAGGAAUUCCACGUGUAGCAGUGAAAUGCGUAGAGAUGUGGAGGAAUACCGAUGGCGAAGGCAGCCCCUCGGGAGUAACACUGACGCUCAUGCACGAAAGCGUGGGGAGC
rnacentral:rRNA from 1 species